AUUAUGAACAGCGCUAGCAAGCAGGGCUGGGAGGAGAUGGCUCUGAGAGAUGGAGUGUAGGGGCUCUGGCUGAAACCAAUCAGGCUCUCAAAUCCUUGCCACUGAUCUGCCUUGAAGCUCAAUCCACUUUCUUCUUUAAAGAGCAAGGAUUUGUCUGGAGAGAAGAAAUCUGUUUAGAAUCAUCAGAAACCAUAUAUGAACUGAUGAUCAAAGCAUGCUGUUCUCAUCAUCGGUCUGAUUUGGCUACUGACAUGGUGACAUGCUGGAAUGUUUCCUCAGAGAUCCAAGAGUAAAAAGGAAGCAACAACAACAAAAAAGCACAAAGAGUUCAGAACAAGUAGGUGCCUUCCAGUAAAGUCUACAUGAAGGAAUUGACUUCCUUGAAUGCCUUCAAAACCAAAUAUUUGCACUAUAGGACAGACAGGGAUAUGGUUUCUGAAGGAAUAUGGCAUAUUGUGGCAUUUUUCAAAGGUAACCAACUCAAACGUUCUUCUUACAAUGUAACAUUGAUAGGACUCCAUCAUGAGGCAGGAUUUUUACCCUCUCUCCACUCCUCCCCUCAAACCUGGAUGGACCCUCAUAACUGCCUCAAUUAAUAGAGCAUGCCAGAAGUGACCCUAUGCCUUCCUAG
rnacentral:lncRNA from 13 species